rnacentral:rRNA from 1 species
UACGAAGGGGGCUAGCGUUGCUCGGAAUUACUGGGCGUAAAGGGCGCGUAGGCGGCCUGAUAAGUAGGGGGUGAAAUCCUGCGGCUUAACCGCAGGGCUGCCUUCUAAACUGUCAGGCUGGAGCACAGUAGAGGCAGGUGGAAUUCCCGGUGUAGCGGUGGAAUGCGUAGAGAUCGGGAAGAACAUCAGUGGCGAAGGCGGCCUGCUGGGCUGUUGCUGACGCUGAGGCGCGACAGCGUGGGGAGCAAACAGG